AGUGAACGCUGGCGGUAGGCCUAACACAUGCAAGUCGAACGGCAGCACAGGAGAGAUUGCUCUCUGGGUGGCGAGUGGCGGACGGGUGAGGAAUACAUCGGAAUCUACUCUGUCGUGGGGGAUAACGUAGGGAAACUUACGCUAAUACCGCAUACGACCUACGGGUGAAAGCAGGGGACCUUCGGGCCUUGCGCGAUUGAAUGAGCCGAUGUCGGAUUAGCUAGUUGGCGGGGUAAAGGCCCACCAAGGCGACGAUCCGUAGCUGGUCUGAGAGGAUGAUCAGCCACACUGGAACUGAGACACGGUCCAGACUCCAACGGGAGGCAGCAGUGGGGAAUAUUGGACAAUGGGCGCAAGCCUGAUCCAGCCAUACCGCGUGGGUGAAGAAGGCCUUCGGGUUGUAAAGCCCUUUUGUUGGGAAAGAAAUCCAGCUGGCUAAUACCCGGUUGGGAUGACGGUACCCAAAGAAUAAGCACCGGCUAACUUCGUGCCAGCAGCCGCCGUAA
rnacentral:rRNA from 1 species